UCAAACCCAGCACACAUCAGAUGCUUCCAGAGCAAAGAAACAACUCUGUUGGGCUGGUUCCUGAUGCCACUGGAUUUUAUUUUCACUUUCUUUUUUUAAACCUGUUUCACAUUCAGAAGCUUCUACUUCCAGAAAUUCUUUAAGAUACCAAGUGAUUUAUACGACCCUUGAUUGAAAACUGAUGCAUGGUGCUUUGCAUAUAUUAUCUUUAAUCCUCAUAAGAACCCUCAAGACUCCUACAUUUUUUGGAAGAGGAAAGCUUGUGAAAUAAGAUCUGCUCUGUCUAGAGAAUUCUGCCUCUAGCCCUGCAGUGGCAUCAAGAUUGGAUGGACACUGGCAAUUCCUUCCUAGUAGAGGUCUUUAAUGUAGUAAAGGAUCACCAGUUCCUUUCUGCUGUACUGUGGAGAGCCACGAGCAUGUUUGUAGAGACCUCAGACUGUAAGUCCCAGUCCUGUCAGCCAGUGCCUUCUUGAAAAGAGCUACUUCUUGACUCACUCCUAGGAU